rnacentral:rRNA from 1 species
AGCAGCCGCGGUAAUUCCAGCUCCAAUAGCGUAUAUUAAAGUUGUUGCAGUUAAAAAGCUCGUAGUUGAAUUUCGGGAUCAAUUUAUUGGUCGUGCUAUUGUACGUACUGGUAUUAUUGAUUUCUACCUUCUGACGAACCAUGAUGUCAUUAAUUUGGUGUCUUGGGGAAUCAGGACUGUUACUUUGAAAAAAAUUAGAGUGUUUAAAGCAGGCUCACGCUUGAAUACAUUAGCAUGGAAUAACGAAAUAGGACGUUUGAUUCUAUUUUGUUGGUUUCUAGGAUCGACGUAAUGAUUAAUAGGGAUAGUUGGGGGCAUUAGUAUUCAAUUGUCAGAGGUGAAAUUCUUGGAUUUAUUGAAGACUAACUACUGCGAAAGCAUUUGCCAAGGAUGUUUUCAUUAAUCAAGAACGAAAGUUAGGGGAUCGAAGACGAUCAGAUACCGUCGUAGUCUUAACCAUAAACUAUAGCCGACUAGGGAUCGGAUGAUGUUAAUUUUUUAAUGACUCAUUCGGCGCC